CCUACGGGAGGCAGCAGUGGGGGAUAUUGCACAAUGGGCGAAACCCUGAUGCAGCGACGCCGCGUGAGUGAAGAAGUAUUUCUGUAUGUAAAGCCCUAUCAGCAGGGAGGAAAAUGACAGUACGUGACCAUGAAUCCCCGGCCAACUACGUGCCAGCAGCCGCGGUAAUACGGAGGGGGCAGGCGUUAUCCGGAUUGACUGGGUGUAAAGGGAGCGUAGACGGUUAUGUAAGUCUGGAGUGAAAGCCCGGGGCCCAACCCCGGGACUGCUGUGCAAACUGUGUAACUGGAGUACAGGAGGGGCAGGCGGAAUUCGUGGUGUAGCGGUGAAAUGCGUAGAUAUCAGGAGGAACACCGGCGGCGAAGGCAGCCUGCCGGAGCGUUACUGACGUUGAAGCUCGAAAGCGUGGGUAGCAAACAGGAUUAGAUACCCCAGUAGUC
rnacentral:rRNA from 1 species